AUUGAACGCUGGCGGCAUGCCUUACACAUGCAAGUCGAACGGCAGCGCGGACUUCGGUCUGGCGGCGAGUGGCGAACGGGUGAGUAAUACAUCGGAACGUACCCUGUUGUGGGGGAUAACUAGUCGAAAGAUUAGCUAAUACCGCAUACGACCUGAGGGUGAAAGUGGGGGAUCGCAAGGCCUCACGCAGCAGGAGCGGCCGAUGUCUGAUUAGCUAGUUGGUGGGGUAAAGGCCCACCAAGGCGACGAUCAGUAGCUGGUCUGAGAGGACGAUCAGCCACACUGGGACUGAGACACGGCCCAGACUCCUACGGGAGGCAGCAGUGGGGAAUUUUGGACAAUGGGGGCAAGCCUGAUCCAGCAAUGCCGCGUGUGUGAAGAAGGCCUUCGGGUUGUAAAGCACUUUUGUCCGGAAAGAAAUAGCGCUGGUUAAUACCUGGCGUGGAUGACGGUACCGGAAGAAUAAGCACCGGCUAACUACGUG
rnacentral:rRNA from 1 species